UAGUAGCGGCGAGCGAAGCGGGAAGAGCUCAAAUUUAUAAUCUGGCACCUUCGGUGUCCGAGUUGUAAUCUCUAGAAGUGUUUUCCGCGUUGGACCGCACACAAGUCUGUUGGAAUACAGCGGCAUAGUGGUGAAACCCCCGUAUAUGGUGCGGACGCCCAGCGCUUUGUGAUACACUUUCAAUGAGUCGAGUUGUUUGGGAAUGCAGCUCAAAUUGGGUGGUAAAUUCCAUCUAAAGCUAAAUAUUGGCGAGAGACCGAUAGCGAACAAGUACCGUGAGGGAAAGAUGAAAAGCACUUUGGAAAGAGAGUUAACAGUACGUGAAAUUGUUGGAAGGGAAACGCUUGAAGUCAGACUUGCUUGCCGGAGCUUGCUUCGGUUUGCAGGCCAGCAUCAGUUUUCCGGGGUGGAUAAUGACGGUUUGAAGGUAGCAGUCUCGGCUGUGUUAUAGCUUUCCGUUGGAUACGCCCUGGGGGACUGAGGAACGCAGCGUGCUUUUUGCGAAAGACUCGUCUUUUUCACGCUUAGGAUGCUGGUGGAAUGGCUUUAAACGACCCGUCUUGAAACACGGACCAAGGAGUCUAACAUGCUCGCGAGUAUUUGGGUGUCAAACCCGGAUGCGCAAUGAAAGUGAAUGUAGGUGGGAACCGCAAGGUGCACCAUCGACCGAUCUGGAUUUUUUAAGAUGGAUUUGAGUAAGAGCGCGUAUGUUGGGACCCGAAAGAUGGUGAACUAUGCCUGAAUAGGGCGAAGCCAGAGGAAACUCUGGUGGAGGCUCGUAGCGGUUCUGACGUGCAAAUCGAUCGUCAAAUUUGGGUAUAGGGGCGAAAGACUAAUCGAACCAUCUAGUAGCUGGUUCCUGCCGAAGUUUCCCUCAGGAUAGCAGAAACUCACAUCAGUUCUAUGAGGUAAAGCGAAUGAUUAGAGGCCUUGGGGUUGAAACAACCUUAACCUAUUCUCAAACUUUAAAUAUGUAGGAAGUCCUUGCUACUUAAUUGAGCGAGGACA
rnacentral:rRNA from 1 species